UUUAUGGAGAGUUUGAUCCUGGCUCAGAGUGAACGCUGGCGGCGUGCCUAAUACAUGCAAGUCGAACGAUGAAGCUUCUAGCUUGCUAGAGUGCUGAUUAGUGGCGCACGGGUGAGUAACGCAUAGGUCAUGUGCCUCUUAGUUUGGGAUAGCCAUUGGAAACGAUGAUUAAUACCAGAUACUCCCUACGGGGGAAAGAUUUAUCGCUAAGAGAUCAGCCUAUGUCCUAUCAGCUUGUUGGUAAGGUAAUGGCUUACCAAGGCUAUGACGGGUAUCCGGCCUGAGAGGGUGAACGGACACACUGGAACUGAGACACGGUCCAGACUCCUACGGGAGGCAGCAGUAGGGAAUAUUGCUCAAUGGGGGAAACCCUGAAGCAGCAACGCCGCGUGGAGGAUGAAGGUUUUAGGAUUGUAAACUCCUUUUGUUAGAGAAGAUAAUGACGGUAUCUAACGAAUAAGCACCGGCUAACUCCGUGCCAGCAGCCGCGGUAAUACGGAGGGUGCAAGCGUUACUCGGAAUCACUGGGCGUAAAGAGCGCGUAGGCGGGAUAGUCAGUCAGGUGUGAAAUCCUAUGGCUUAACCAUAGAACUGCAUUUGAAACUACUAUUCUAGAGUGUGGGAGAGGUAGGUGGAAUUCUUGGUGUAGGGGUAAAAUCCGUAGAGAUCAAGAGGAAUACUCAUUGCGAAGGCGACCUGCUGGAACAUUACUGACGCUGAUUGCGCGAAAGCGUGGGGAGCAAACAGGAUUAGAUACCCUGGUAGUCCACGCCCUAAACGAUGGAUGCUAGUUGUUGGAGGGCUUAGUCUCUCCAGUAAUGCAGCUAACGCAUUAAGCAUCCCGCCUGGGGAGUACGGUCGCAAGAUUAAAACUCAAAGGAAUAGACGGGGACCCGCACAAGCGGUGGAGCAUGUGGUUUAAUUCGAAGAUACACGAAGAACCUUACCUAGGCUUGACAUUGAGAGAAUCCGCUAGAAAUAGUGGAGUGUCUGGCUUGCCAGACCUUGAAAACAGGUGCUGCACGGCUGUCGUCAGCUCGUGUCGUGAGAUGUUGGGUUAAGUCCCGCAACGAGCGCAACCCCCUUUCUUAGUUGCUAACAGGUUAUGCUGAGAACUCUAAGGAUACUGCCUCCGUAAGGAGGAGGAAGGUGGGGACGACGUCAAGUCAUCAUGGCCCUUACGCCUAGGGCUACACACGUGCUACAAUGGGGUGUACAAAGAGAAGCAAUACUGCGAAGUGGAGCCAAUCUUCAAAACAUCUCUCAGUUCGGAUUGUAGGCUGCAACUCGCCUGCAUGAAGCUGGAAUCGCUAGUAAUCGCAAAUCAGCCAUGUUGCGGUGAAUACGUUCCCGGGUCUUGUACUCACCGCCCGUCACACCAUGGGAGUUGUGUUUGCCUUAAGUCAGGAUGCUAAAUUAGCUACUGCCCACGGCACACACAGCGACUGGGGUGAAGUCGUAACAAGGUAACCGUAGGUGAACCUGCGGUUGGAUCACCUCCUUUCUA
rnacentral:rRNA from 1 species